CGGGUCUUGCACGACUGGCGCUGCGUGGAAUCGACCACGGGGGAGUGCUGAACGCCAGUGGGCCGUCCGCCUGGGCCUCUGAC
rnacentral:ncRNA from 2 species